CAAAGCUAUGCCAGCAGUGUAAAAAGGAGUGGAAAUCAGCUUCACUAGGGACAACAACUAAUCUGGGAAAGCUAACACAAAGCAUUUAGUGCUAUUAAGUAUAUACAGAGGUCCCCAGCGUGAUAGACAUAAGGAGACUUGACUAACCAAAAAACUCUAAAAUGAUAAUUUGGUUUUUUUUUUUUUUGGACAAAAAUGAUAAUUUGGUUUGAAAAGCCUAAUAGAAAAUGAUUUGGGCCAUACCAUGUGCUGCAAGGUUAGGCCAUACUGAUUAUGGAGUCAAGUUCCGGAUUUGGGCUUUUCUACCCUCUCUCGCGCCGAGACCCCUCAACUUGGCUUAAUUUUUGUCCAGUGAACAAUGAAAAUUAGUUGUAUCUUAGUAAGUGGAAAGACUUAUGUGCCGGAAUGAUAUCUCCUCGAAUAAUAGCUCAAGUAGGAAGAGCUGAAUG
rnacentral:lncRNA from 1 species